AUUUAACGCUGGCGGCAUGCCUAACACAUGCAAGUCGCACGAGUGGCGGACGGGUGAGUAAUGUCUGGGAAACUGCCCGAUGGAGGGGGAUAACUACUGGAAACGGUAGCUAAUACCGCAUACUAUCGGAUGUGCCCCGAUGGGAUUAGUUGGUAGGUGGGGUAAUGGCUCACCUAGUCGACGAUCCCUAGCUGGUCUGAGAGGAUGACCAGCCACACUGGAACUGAGACACGGUCCAGACUCCCACGGGAGGCAGAGGUGGGGAAUAUGGCACAAGGGGCGCAAGCCUGAGGCAGCCAUGGCGCGUGUAUGAAGAAGGCCUUCGGGUUGUAAAGUACUUUCAGCGAGGAGGCGUUACUCGCAGAAGAAGCACCGGCUAACUCCGUGCCAGCAGCCGCGGUAAUUC
rnacentral:rRNA from 1 species